rnacentral:rRNA from 1 species
CCAGACUCCUACGGGAGGCAGCAGUGGGGAAUAUUGGGCAAUGGGGGAAACCCUGACCCAGCGACGCCGCGUGAGGGAAGAAGGUUUUCGGAUUGUAAACCUCUGUCCUUGGUGACGAUAAUGACGGUAGCCAAGGAGGAAGCCACGGCUAACUACGUGCCAGCAGCCGCGGUAAUACGUAGGGGGCAAGCGUUAUCCGGAUUUACUGGGUGUAAAGGGAGCGUAGACGGCGCUGCAAGUCCGGAGUGAAAGCCCAUGGCUUAACCAUGGUACUGCUCUGGAAACUGUGGAGCUUGAGUGCGGGAGGGGCAGGCGGAAUUCCUAGUGUAGCGGUGAAAUGCGUAGAUAUUAGGAGGAACACCGGCGGCGAAGGCGGCCUGCUGGACCGUAACUGACGUUGAGGCUCGAAAGCGUGGGGAGCAAACAGGAUUAGAUACCCCAGUAG